rnacentral:rRNA from 1 species
AGAGUUUGAUCCUGGCUCAGGACGAACGCUGGCGGCGUGCUUAACACAUGCAAGUCGAACGAUGAAGCUGUGCUUGCACAGUGGAUUAGUGGCGAACGGGUGAGUAACACGUGAGUAACCUGCCCUCCACUUUGGGAUAACUCCGAGAAAUCGGGGCUAAUACUGGAUAUGACCUUGGCCCGCAUGGGUUGUGGUGGAAAGUUUUUCGGUGGGGGAUGGGCUCGCGGCCUAUCAGUUUGUUGGUGAGGUAGUGGCUCACCAAGGCGAUGACGGGUAGCCGGCCUGAGAGGGCGACCGGCCACACUGGGACUGAGACACGGCCCAGACUCCUACGGGAGGCAGCAGUGGGGAAUAUUGCACAAUGGGCGAAAGCCUGAUGCAGCGACGCCGCGUGGGGGAUGACGGCCUUCGGGUUGUAAACCUCUUUCAGCAAGGAAGAAGCGAAAGUGACGGUACUUGCAGAAGAAGCGCCGGCUAACUACGUGCCAGCAGCCGCGGUAAUACGUAGGGCGCAAGCGUUGUCCGGAAUUAUUGGGCGUAAAGGGCUUGUAGGUGGCUUGUCGCGUCUGCCGUGAAAACCCAGGGCUUAACUCUGGGCGUGCGGUGGGUACGGGCAGGCUAGAGUGCGGUAGGGGAGACUGGAAUUCCUGGUGUAGCGGUGAAAUGCGCAGAUAUCAGGAGGAACACCGAUGGCGAAGGCAGGUCUCUGGGCCGUUACUGACACUGAGAAGCGAAAGCAUGGGGAGCGAACAGGAUUAGAUACCCUGGUAGUCCAUGCCGUAAACGUUGGGCACUAGGUGUGGGGAGCAUUCCACGUUUUCCGCGCCGUAGCUAACGCAUUAAGUGCCCCGCCUGGGGAGUACGGCCGCAAGGCUAAAACUCAAAGGAAUUGACGGGGGCCCGCACAAGCGGCGGAGCAUGCGGAUUAAUUCGAUGCAACGCGAAGAACCUUACCAAGGCUUGACAUGCACUGGAUCGCUGCAGAGAUGUGGUUUUCUUUGGACUGGUGCACAGGUGGUGCAUGGUUGUCGUCAGCUCGUGUCGUGAGAUGUUGGGUUAAGUCCC